rnacentral:rRNA from 1 species
GACGAACGCUGGCGGCGUGCCUAAUACAUGCAAGUAGAACGCUGAAGGAGGAGCUUGCUCUUCUGGAUGAGUUGCGAACGGGUGAGUAACGCGUAGGUAACCUGCCUGGUAGCGGGGGAUAACUAUUGGAAACGAUAGCUAAUACCGCAUAACAGUAGAUGUUGCAUGACAUUUACUUAAAAGGUGCAAUUGCAUCACUACCAGAUGGACCUGCGUUGUAUUAGCUAGUUGGUGGGGUAACGGCUCACCAAGGCGACGAUACAUAGCCGACCUGAGAGGGUGAUCGGCCACACUGGGACUGAGACACGGCUCAGACUCCUACGGGAGGCAGCAGUAGGGAAUCUUCGGCAAUGGACGGAAGUCUGACCGAGCAACGCCGCGUGAGUGAAGAAGGUUUUCGGAUCGUAAAGCUCUGUUGUAAGAGAAGAACGAGUGUGAGAGUGGAAAGUUCACACUGUGACGGUAUCUUACCAGAAAGGGACGGCUAACUACGUG